GCGCGCCAGCGGAGGAAAAUAGGCUUGCAGAGGACUCCCUUCUCUCUCCUCCUGGAAACCUUCCCCAACCUUGUUCCCCUGCCAAGGAUUAGUUGCCGUUGAAGGGGGCUCCGCCAAUGAAAUCUUCUCUGCGCUCUGAUUUGGCGGUUCUUCGGUGCAAAUAUGACAGCUUUCUCUCUCAGCUCUUUUCUGCAUCUCUCCAUGUCCGACCCCGGAGCCCAGUUCUCGGUCUGCAAUUUCUACACCACAACCUUUGCAAUCACCACCACCACCACCCCUAGGUCCCAUGUCAGCAGGUGCCAGGUUGCUACAAAGGUGACAGGGCACAUUGGGAAGAAGGCUUGUUGAUUGCAGAAGAUACUUAUGCCCCGUGUUUCCAGUGCUAUGAAGUGCAAUGAGCUGGCCUGAGACUGUCAGAUGGAUUCUCCAGGGAAAGUGUUUUCCAGGAGCUUGCCAUGAACUGGAUUUAAGGUCACCACUGUAGAUAUUCCCUGCCUUUCUUCACUCACUCUUCUGUCUAUGGACGCCUGUGCUGACUGUGUAUCUUGCCUGCUGGAAACAUUGCCUCCUCAAACACACAAGGCAGGAUGUCUCUCCAGCAUACUGACCUCCCUUCGCUGGAAUAUUUGCCCAGUAAAGGGAUUGAUGAAUCUCAUGGAGACAUUUAGAGAAAGCUGCAAAUGAUCAAAACACAGAGAGUAACUGACUAUGGGUGCCUAGCCCUAACUGAUACAUCCACAAUAUGACCUUACACCCAAGACUCAAGAAACAUGGAGGAUGUUCAGAAAGAUUACAAGAGCCAGAAGCCUAAAAUCUCCUUUAUGCAUAGAGAACUUUUCCUUGGUAACAGACCUGGAGCAUCCUGUGCAGAUUCCGUCCAGGGCCUGUCUUGUGAUAAUCGAGUCAGAAGCUUCCUGGGGACUUCCUUUCCUGCAAUCACAGCUCCUCUCCUACACACAGCAAGUUUCUAGUGCUGUUCUUGCCAUUAGCCCUACUGUGUGCAAAGUGCAUCCACACAGAAAUCUGCUGCAUAUCUGAAAUUGCCUCUGCUUCGUCCUUAAGAAGCCUAAACUUGUAUGAUCCUUGCUGACUGUGCAGUCUCACACAGAAUUCAGUUGCCUGUGGUGGGAAGACAGCAAGGACUAUACCUUCUCUAUCAGGGCAUCAGCAUUUCUAACACAUCUUUUGUCCCAUGCUUUAUCAACCUAUGCACCUCUCAGAACCUCAUGAUGACUUGAUUCUCAAAAGCAUGUCCUAUGUUGCUUACAGAACUUUCUGUGCAUGUUAGGAGAGAUCCUAUUUUACUAACUUGUGUAUUUAAAAGACAUGUUUCCACUCCCAUGAAGGUAUCAAAACAUAUUUUCAGACAACAAAAAAUGACAUAUAUUUUACUUCGAGAUGGGCCACAAUCAAUUCAUUGGAGAAUAUUGACUAAACAUGGUAGUUUAUACCACCAGGAAUAAGUGUAAACACAUAAGGAAAUUACAACUGUAUUGUGGCAAUUGUAAGUUCUGUCCUCUUUGCUUGAGAUUGAGGAUAUGAAAUAUUAAUUUAAAUAUAAGAAAAUAACAUACAUUCUAAUCACAGUGGAACUAUACACAAGAAUGCUAAAAUUUUGGGUGUAUAUAACUAAGCAAAAAUUCAAUGACCUAAUUAUAUGUUUGCUCAAGAAGAGCCUGUUACUAACUUGAAAUGAGGAACUAGUAUUUUGCUUUUAUAUUUUGAUAAUGAAGGUAGUGUUGGAUUGGAAAUGAAAACAUAAUAAAAUCCAGUUGUCACUCA
rnacentral:lncRNA from 1 species